rnacentral:rRNA from 1 species
UAGGGAAUCUUCGGCAAUGGGGGGAACCCUGACCGAGCAACGCCGCGUGAGUGAAGAAGGUUUUCGGAUCGUAAAGCUCUGUUGCUAAGGAAGAACGUGUGUGAGAGUGGAAAGUUCACACAGUGACGGUACUUAACCAGAAAGGGACGGCUAACUACGUGCCAGCAGCCGCGGUAAUACGUAGGUCCCGAGCGUUGUCCGGAUUUAUUGGGCGUAAAGCGAGCGCAGGCGGUUAGAUAAGUCUGAAGUGAAAGGCAGUGGCUCAACCAUUGUAGGCUUUGGAAACUGUUUAACUUGAGUGCAGAAGGGGAGAGUGGAAUUCCAUGUGUAGCGGUGAAAUGCGUAGAUAUAUGGAGGAACACCGGUGGCGAAAGCGGCUCUCUGGUCUGUAACUGACGCUGAGGCUCGAAAGCGUGGGGAGCGAACAGGAUUAGAUACCCUGGUAGUCCACGCCGUAAACGAUGAGUGCUAGGUGUUAGGUCCUUUCCGGGACUUAGUGCCGCAGCUAACGCAUUAAGCACUCCGCCUGGGGAGUACGACCGCAAGGUUG